GAUGAACGCUGGCGGCGUGCCUAAUACAUGCAAGUCGAGCGAACAGACGAGGAGCUUGUGCCUCUGAGGUUAGCGGCGGGCGGGUGAGUAACACGUGGAUAACCUACAUAUAAGACUGGGAUAACUUCGGGAAACCGGAGCUAAUACCGGAUAAUAUAAUGAACCGCAUGGGGCAAUAGUGAAUGACGGUUUUGCUGUUACUUAUAGAUGGAUCCGCGCCGCAUUAGCGAUGUGGUAAGGUAACGGCUUACCAAGGCAACGAUGCGUAGCCGACCUGAGAGGGUGUUCGGCCCCCCUGCGACUGGGACACGGGCCAGACUCCUACGGGGGGCCGCCGUAGGGAAUUUUCGGCGAUGGCCGAAGGCUUGUCUCCGCAACGCCCCGUGGGUGGUGGAGGCCUUCCGAUCUUGAAACUCUGUUCUUAGGGAAGAACAACUGUGUAAGUAACUAUGCACGUCUUGACGGUACCUAAUCAGAAAGCCACGGCUAACUACGUG
rnacentral:rRNA from 1 species